rnacentral:ncRNA from 1 species
AAGUAUCUCCGAGUCUCGCUAUGGACGACGGUGAUAGGAGUAACGGCUAGUCGGCACAGCCAUCGACGUACCUGUUUGACAAGGAAAUUGACUUGUUCAAGCCUCAACAACAGAUAAUGUCGUGAGAUUCCGGCGUCUUCAGGCGCGAGA